rnacentral:rRNA from 1 species
ACCAGACUCCUACGGGAGGCAGCAGUGGGGGAUAUUGCACAAUGGGGGGAACCCUGAUGCAGCGACGCCGCGUGGGCGAAGGAGUAUUUCGGUAUGUAAAGCCCCAUCGGCAGGGAAGAAAUUGGACGGUACCUGACUAAGAAGCCCCGGCUAACUACGUGCCAGCAGCCGCGGUAAUACGUAGGGGGCAAGCGUUAUCCGGAUUCACUGGGUGUAAAGGGAGCGUAGACGGCCAGGCAAGCCUGGAGUGAAAGCCCGGGGCCCAACCCCCGGACUGCUCUGGAAACUGUGUAACUUGAGUGCAGGAGAGGUAAGCGGAAUUCCUAGUGUAGCGGUGAAAUGCGUAGAUAUUAGGAGGAACACCAGUGGCGAAGGCGGCUUACUGGACUGUAACUGACGUUGAGGCUCGAAAGCGUGGGGAGCAAACAGGAUUAGAUACCCCCGUA